rnacentral:rRNA from 1 species
GACGAACGGACGUGGCGGCGUGGAUUAGGCAUGCAAGUCGAACGGUAUCGAUCCUUUCGGGGGUGAGAGAGUGGCGAACUGGUGAGUAACACGUAGGUUAUCUACCCUCAAGACGGGGGACAACCCAGGGAAACUUGGGCUAAUACCGGAUGUGAGCAACUUUUAGUUGUUUGAAAGGUGGCGUAAGCUGUCGCUUGGGGAUGAGCCUGCGUCCUAUUAGUUAGUUGGUGAGGUAACGGCUCACCUAGGCAAUGAUAGGUAGGCGGCCUUAACGGGUGGUCGCCCACACUGGGAUUGAGAUACGGCCCAGACUCCUACGGGAGGCAGCAGUCGAGAAUAGUCUACAAUGGUCGGAAGACUGAUAGUGCGACGCCGCGUGAACGAUGAAUCCCUUCGGGGUGUAAAGUUCUUUUAUAUGUGAGCAGUGCUUCUUAUAUUAACAGUAUGGGGAGAGAGAUAUUAGCAUAUGAAUAAGCAACGGCUAACUCCGUGCCAGCAACCGCGGU